rnacentral:lncRNA from 1 species
CAUCACCUCCUGCAGUUUAUUAGAGCUCUGCGGUUCCUGCUAGUCUCUCCUGCUCCAUGUCAGCAGAAAUGCUGUAUAGGAAGAUGGAAAAGGAAUCAGAGUCAUCAUUUUAUUUGAUGUUGAGAGAUACAAUAAGAUUGGAUAAGAUGAGCUUUGUUAUUAAUGAUCUAGAUUCAGAUCCUGGAC